UGCAGUCGAGCGAACAGAUAAGGAGCUUGCUCCUUUGACGUUAGCGGCGGACGGGUGAGUAACACGUGGGUAACCUACCUAUAAGACUGGGAUAACUUCGGGAAACCGGAGCUAAUACCGGAUAACAUUUGGAACCGCAUGGUUCUAAAGUGAAAGAUGGUUUUGCUAUCACUUAUAGAUGGACCCGCGCCGUAUUAGCUAGUUGGUAAGGUAACGGCUUACCAAGGCAACGAUACGUAGCCGACCUGAGAGGGUGAUCGGCCACACUGGAACUGAGACACGGUCCAGACUCCUACGGGAGGCAGCAGUAGGGAAUCUUCCGCAAUGGGCGAAAGCCUGACGGAGCAACGCCGCGUGAGUGAUGAAGGGUUUCGGCUCGUAAAACUCUGUUAUUAGGGAAGAACAAACGUGUAAGUAACUGUGCACGUCUUGACGGUACCUAAUCAGAAAGCCACGGCUAACUACGUGCCAGCAGCCGCGGUAAUACGUAGGUGGCAAGCGUUAUCCGGAAUUAUUGGGCGUAAAGCGCGCGUAGGCGGUUUCUUAAGUCUGAUGUGAAAGCCCACGGCUCAACCGUGGAGGGUCAUUGGAAACUGGGAAACUUGAGUGCAGAAGAGGAAAGUGGAAUUCCAUGUGUAGCGGUGAAAUGCGCAGAGAUAUGGAGGAACACCAGUGGCGAAGGCGACUUUCUGGUCUGUAACUGACGCUGAUGUGCGAAAGCGUGGGGAUCAAACAGGAUUAGAUACCCUGGUAGUCCACGCCGUAAACGAUGAGUGCUAAGUGUUAGGGGGUUUCCGCCCCUUAGUGCUGCAGCUACGCAUUAAGCACUCCGCCUGGGGAGUACGACCG
rnacentral:rRNA from 1 species